AAUAGGGCGUUCAGUUGCUGGGCGUAGACCCGAAACCAGGUGAUCUAUCCAUGGCCAGGAUGAAGGUGCGGUAACACGUACUGGAGGUCCGAACCCACUAACGUUGAAAAGUUAGGGGAUGAGCUGUGGAUAGGGGUGAAAGGCUAAACAAACCUGGAAAUAGCUGGUUCUCUCCGAAAACUAUUUAGGUAGUGCCUCGUGUCUCACCUUCGGGGGUAGAGCACUGUCAUGGUUGGGGGGUCUAUUGCAGAUUACCCCGCCAUAGCAAACUCCGAAUACCGAAGAGUGCAAUCACGGGAGACAGACAUCGGGUGCUAACGUCCGGUGUCAAGAGGGAAACAACCCAGACCGCCAGCUAAGGUCCCCAAAUAUAGCUAAGUGGGAAACGAAGUGGGAAGGCUAAAACAGUCAGGAGGUUGGCUUAGAAGCAGCCACCCUUUAAAGAAAGCGUAAUAGCUCACUGAUCGAGUCGUCCUGCGCGGAAGAUGUAACGGGGCUAAGCUAUAUACCGAAGCUGCGGAUGCGAGCUUGCUCGCAUGGUAGGAGAGCGUUCCGUAAGCCUGCGAAGGUGCCUUGUAAAGGGUGCUGGAGGUAUCGGAAGUGCGAAUGCUGACAUGAGUAGCGAUAAAGGGGGUGAAAGGCCCCCUCGCCGUAAGCCCAAGGUUUCCUACGCAACGUUCAUCGGCGUAGGGUGAGUCGGCCCCUAAGGCGAGGCAGAAAUGCGUAGCUGAUGGGAAGCAGGUCAAUAUUCCUGCACCAUUGUUAGAUGCGAUGGGGGGACGGAUCGCGGAAGGUUGUCCGGGUGUUGGAAGUCCCGGUCGCUGCAUUGGAGAAGGCGCUUAGGCAAAUCCGGGCGCG
rnacentral:rRNA from 1 species